rnacentral:rRNA from 1 species
CACGUAGGCGGACUUUUAAGUCAGGGGUGAAAUCCCGGGGCUCAACCCCGGAACUGCCUUUGAUACUGGAAGUCUUGAGUAUGGAAGAGGUAAGUGGAAUUGCGAGUGUAGAGGUGAAAUUCGUAGAUAUUCGCAGGAACACCAGUGGCGAAGGCGGCUUACUGGUCCAUUACUGACGCUGAGGUGCGAAAGCGUGGGGAGCAAACA